rnacentral:rRNA from 1 species
AGAGAGAGACAUGCGCGCAUAUCAAUAAGCGGAGGAAAAGAAACUAACAAGGAUUCCCUUAGUAACGGCGAGUGAAGCGGGAAGAGCUCAAAUUUGAAAUCUUCAAGGUUUUACCUUGACGAAUUGUAGUUUAAAGAAGUGUUUUCUGUUGAAGUUUUGGUAAAAGUUCUUUGGAAUAGGACAUCAUAGAGGAUGAGAAUCCCGUAUUUGACCAUUAUUUUCAGCUGUGUGAUACACUUUCAAAGAGUCGGAUUGUUUGGGAAUGCAGUCCAAAAUGGGUGGUAAAUUUCAUCUAAAGCUAAAUACUGGCGAGAGACCGAUAGCGAACAAGUACCGUGAGGGAAAGAUGAAAAGAACUUUGAAAAGAGAGUUAAACAGUACGUGAAAUUGUCAAAAGGGAAGCGUUUGACACCAGUGUUGUUUUCUCGAAAAUCAAUUAAAAAUGGAUUCAUGCUAGGUAGUAUUGACUUAUCAGGCUUGCUGCCUCGUUUCUGGGUCUUUUUUGAUGCACUUUUCGGUUAAACAAGUCAACAUCAAUUUCUUUUGUUGUAAAAGGGUCAGAUGGAAGGUGGCCUUAGCUUUCGGAUAAAGUGUUUAUAGCCUUUUACCUCUGCAGUCGGAGAGAUUGAGGUCUGCAGCGUAGACUCUUCGGGGUUAGAUACAUUUGUGCUAAGCUAUAGCCUUUCAUAGACAACUUGUUGACUAUGAUCAGUCAUGUAGCUUACUCGCUUAUGCUAUUUUACCUACGCUUAGGAUGUUGACAGCAGUAUAGACUGU